ACAGGAUUAGAUACCCUGGUAGUCCACGCCGUAAACGAUGUCGACUUGGAGGCUGUUUCCUUGAGAAGUGGCUUCCGGAGCUAACGCGUUAAGUCGACCGCCUGGGGAGUACGGCCGCAAGGUUAAAACUCAAAUGAAUUGACGGGGGCCCGCACAAGCGGUGGAGCAUGUGGUUUAAUUCGAUGCAACGCGAAGAACCUUACCUACUCUUGACAUCCACGGAAUUUGGCAGAGAUGCCUUAGUGCCUUCGGGAACCGUGAGACAGGUGCUGCAUGGCUGUCGUCAGCUCGUGUUGUGAAAUGUUGGGUUAAGUCCCGCAACGAGCGCAACCCUUAUCCUUUGUUGCCAGCGAUUCGGUCGGGAACUCAAAGGAGACUGCCGGUGAUAAACCGGAGGAAGGUGGGGAUGACGUCAAGUCAUCAUGACCCUUACGAGUAGGGCUACACACGUGCUACAAUGGCGCAUACAAAGAGAAGCGACCUCGCGAGAGCAAGCGGACCUCAUAAAGUGCGUCGUAGUCCGGAUCGGAGUCUGCAACUCGACUCCGUGAAGUCGGAAUCGCUAGUAAUCGUGGAUCAGAAUGCCACGGUGAAUACGUUCCCGGGCCUUGUACACACCGCCCGUCACACCAUGGGAGUGGGUUGCAAAAGAAGUAGGUAGCUUAACCUUCGGGAGGGCGCUUACCACUUUGUGAUUCAUGACUGGGGUGAAGUCGUAACAAGGUAA
rnacentral:rRNA from 1 species